CACUUAAAUCAUAAUAGAGUACUAGUACCGUAGUUGAGAUAAUAAUUGACUGAAGCUGAAUCGUCACUCGACUUUGUUGUCUGAAACAUAAUCAUAGAAGAAAGAGAACCAUAAAAUUUAAUUCCCUGCCAAAUCAAUCCAACGGAGCACCUCCUUCACCAGUCCAGCACGAGAUAAGAUCACCUUUGAUAAUUUGAUGGCGGAUGUUGCUAUCUCGAUUGUGGCUAGUUUGGUUGAACGUUUGCUUGGACCGGCAAUACGCGAAGGAAAAUGUUUUCUUUGCGUUAAUAAAUUUAUCGGGGAUCUUGAGAAUGAAAAGCAAGAGCUAGUAAUCGAAAGAGAUAACUUGUUGGAUCGUGUUGAACAAGCCAAGCAUAGAACUGAAGAAAUUGAGAAACCAGUGGAAAUGUGGCUAAAUGAUGUGAAAAAUCUAUUGGAACAGGUUGAAGAUUUAGAACAGAUGAUGAGAGAAAAUACUAGUUGCUUUCAAGGGCAGUGUCCAACUUGGAAAAGAUACCGUUUAUGCAAGCAAAUAGUAAAGAAGAUAGAGUUAAUAGGAAAAUUCAAAGGCAAAAGCAAUAUUCAACCAUUUUCUCACCGUGCUCCUCUUCCUGGCAUACAGUACCCAUCAUCAGAGAACUUUAUUUAUUUUGAAUCAACAAAAGUUGCUAAUAGUGAACUAUUGGAGGCACUUCAAGAUGAUGACAUCUACAUGAUAGGAGUGUAUGGAAUGGGCGGAACAGGGAAGACAACUCUUGUAACAGAAGUGGCUAAGAAGGUUGAAGCAUCAAAGAUUUUUGACAAGGCUAUAUUAGUUACAGUGUCUCAAACUCCAAACAUUAGAGAUAUUCAAGGGAGAGUGGCUGAUGUUUUGAACUUGAAAUUGGAGGAAGAAAGUGACGAGGGAAGAGCACAACGUCUCUGGUUGAAUUUGAAAGAAAAAAAGAGGAUGCUCGUAAUAAUAGACGACUUAUGGAGAGAGUUUAAUUUGAACGAUAUAGGGAUUCACUUGGACAACCAUAACAAGGGUGCAUGGAAGAUCCUUGUAACCACUCGUAAUCAACAUAUAUGUGAUUUGAUGCAUUGUCAAAAGAAGAUCCAUCUAGAACUCUUAUCUGAAGAUGAGUCUUGGACUUUGUUCAAAAAACAUGCACAUAUUGAUGAAACAUUCUCCAAGUCGUUGGAUGGUGUUCCACAAAAAAUUUGCCGUGAAUGUAAAGGACUACCUAUAGCAAUCAAAGCGGUGGGAUCUUCUUUGAAAGGAAAAUCCGAUGCUGAAUGGAAGGUUGCAUUUCAUAGGUUGACACAUUCAGAGACCAUUGACGAUCAUAUGGACGGAGUGGGAGAUGCUUUAAGUUGUCUGAAAUUAAGCUAUGAUUAUUUAUCAUACAAAGAAAAGCUUAUCUUCUUACUGUGUUCUAUGUUUCCAGAAGAUUAUAAAAUCUCAAUAGAAGAUUUGAUCCGAUAUGCAGUCGGACUUGGACUAGGAGGAGAAUUUCCGCUAGACUCGGCAAGAGAUGAGAUCGAAGCAACGACUAACAGACUUUUGCAAUCAUGUUUGUUGAUGAAUGCCGGGGAAAGCAAAGAGUGCGUGAAGAUGCACGACACAGUUCGCGACACAGCCUUAUGGAUUGCAAAGAGAUCAGAGAAUCACAAAAUCGUGGUAAAUGUUGACAAACAAGUUAGCGAAUUGGUAAUGGAUGAUAAUAUAAUAGAUUGUUUUGCGCUAUCCUCGUGGUAUGACAAGCAAGAUCAAAAAUUUCAUCAAUUGCAUGCUCCAAACCUUGAAAUUUUAUUGGUACAUUCUAGGAGGAGGAAAUCCUUUGAUUUAUCCCGUGCAACCUUUCAAGGAGUGAAAGGGCUGAAGGUUUUUUCUCUAAUCUAUAAUGGGUAUGGUGAUCCAUCAUUAUCAUUGCCAUCUUCAACCCAUUCAUUGACAAAUCUUCGAACUCUACGCUUGAAUGGAUGGAAGUUAGAUAACAUUCUUUUCAUAACAAACUUAACAAGACUUGAGAUUCUUGACUUGCGACAUUGUAUCAUCAAUGAACUUCCUAAAGAAAUAGGAAAACUAAACAGAUUGAAGCUUCUAGAUAUGUCAUAUUGUCGUUUUCUUGAAGAAAACUAUAAUGCAGCAAUAGGAAAAUUGUCAAAAUUGGAAGAGUUAUAUGCUUUCAAAUGCAUGCCAAAAGAGUACAUUUAUCAGUGUGCUGUGGACAUUAUUACUCUUCCAAGGUUGCAAAGGUUUGUAAUACAUGCUGACCGUAGUAGAGAUUUUGCAAAAACCUCCAGACAUUUAGAAGUAAUGGAUUUUAAUAUCUCCAAUAUGAAGGCUUCUACGAAGAAUCUUCUUCAAAUAGCCGAAACAGUUCAUUUCAUAAAUCUUCAUGGAGGAUGUAAAACUAUCAUGCCAGACAUGAUUGGAGUUAUGGGAGGUGUGAGUUGUUUUAAAUCUCUUUGUCUCGAAGGUUGCUCAGAGAUUGAAUACAUCUUCAAUACAGCCUCUGAUUCCAAGCUAGAGUGUCUGGUUCCUGAGUUGGUAGAAUUGGUAUUGCUAAGAUUAGAAAACUUGGAAGAAUUGUGUCGUGGUCCACCUCAACACGUGUUAAGCUUCUUUGAGAGAUUAGAAAAACUUGAAAUACAACAAUGUUUGAAGUUACACAAUAUAUUUCCACAGGACUGUAACUUACGAAAUCUUAAAGUCCUGAAAAUAGAAAACAAUGUGUUCGGUGAAGCUCUCUUCUCGAUAUCUGUUGCCCACAAUCUACAACAACUAGAAGUGCUAGAAGUAGCACAAUGUGAUGAACUGAAGUUUAUAAUUGCCACCGGAAGUGAGGAUGGUUCUAAUUCAAACAAUGAAAUAUUUCAGACUCCGAUAAAGAGUUCUCAUUUUGUGAUGUCUGGAUUGAAGAAACUUCACAUUUCUAAGUGUAAGAAGUUAGAGUCGUUAUUACCAAUCUGUUGUGUUGAAGGAUUUGCACCACUGGAAGAGAUACAAAUAAAGAAGGCUCCUCAUUUGAAACUUGUAUUUGGUGAAUGUGAUCACCAAAAUCAUUCCUCUCAACAAUAUCCAAAUCAGAACUUGCAUCCUUAUUUGAAACGUCUCAAACUCACAGAUCUUGAUAAUCUCAUUGGAAUAUGUCCUGAAAACAAUUGUGAAAAAUGGCCUUCUUCGACAGUACUAAUUGUGGAGAAUUGCCCGAAGUUGAGUGCAUCAUGGAUCGCUACAUUGGCCGGCUCUGAGGAUAGAGAAAAAGUUGUCAAGAUAGAAAAAAUGACCUUAAGUGGUUUUUCUGGAUUGAGCCUCAUAUCAAGGGUAGGUCCUUCUCCAAGACAUAUUUUGAAUCUCCAUUGUCUACAAAGAUUAGCAGUGAGCAAUUGUAAUAACUUGAGAUCUCUAUUCUCAAUGGAGCAGCUACAUAGAAGCCUACCAGAGUUGACAUCGUUUCGAGUAUACUCCUGCCAUGAAUUAGAACAAAUCAUUGAAGAAAGUGAAAAGUUUGUGUCCAAUACUGAAGUGUGUUUUCCAAAGCUAAAAGAUAUUAAGAUUGUAAAUUGCAAAAAAAUGAAAAGUCUUUUCUCUGUUGCUAUGAUUAGAAUGCUUCCAAAGUUAAGCACUCUUGAAAUGUCAGAGGUUACUCAACUAGAAGAAGUUUUUAAGGGAGGCAACACUAUCACCAAUGAUGUUGCAAUUGGACUUGUAAACUUAUCAAAAAUAGAACUGCAUAAGUUGCCAAGUUUUGUUGAUAUUUGCAAGGGUUUUAAGUUACAGACUCCGAAAAUUAAACAUCUUGACAUAGUUGAAUGCCCGAGCAUAUCUCCAAGUUUGAGAGAAAUUCAGGUGAAUACUCCUCGACAAACAAGGUUUACUUACGCAAAUUCUCUUUAGUUUUUAUAUACAUAUUUCAAUAAAAGAAUUCCAAUGAAUGUGCAAUUAGAAGUCCUUGCACGUUUUUUUUUAACUUCUCUUUAGUCUUUAAUUUUUAUGUGUUUUGGUUCAAUUUUUAGAACGAAGAGAAAGAGAGGGGAGCAAAAUCCCUUAUAAGCUCACUUUUUGCUUUCCCUAAAUGGAGGUGUUUGGAGGGGAGUGGAAGAGAGAAGAUGUAUUGUUUAUGAAUUUAUUACAUUUUCAAGUUUGUUUUUCUUUAGGAUAAUGUUUUAUUGUUUAUAUAUAUAUAAAUUAAUAUUUAUUAAAAAUUAUUUUAUAAAUAUUGUUUUUGCUAGAACGUUAUGUAAAAUUGCUACUAACCAAGGUAAUAAAAACCGGAACGGACUGAUCGGUUUGACCGGGAAUCGGACUUGUAUCCGGUCCGAGCGCUGUGCAUGGGAACCAGAAUUAAAACCGUAAAACCGACGUGGAACCAGUAAAAGUCGGCGAUCUAGACAGUUUGGCAGGUACAACUAGAAGAAACCAAGAGAGAAGGAAAAGAUGAUUGAAGACUUGAUCUUUAUCUACCAACUGUGAGAU